UACGUAGGGUGCGAGCGUUAAUCGGAAUUACUGGGCGUAAAGCGUGCGCAGGCGGUUCGUUAAGUCAGAUGUGAAAGCCCCGGGCUCAACCUGGGAACUGCAUUUGAAACUGGCGGGCUUGAGUGUGGCAGAGGGGGGUGGAAUUCCGCGUGUAGCAGCGAAAUGCGUAGAGAUGCGGAGGAACACCGAUGGCGAAGGCAGCCCCCUGGGCCAACACUGACGCUCAGGCACGAAAGCGUGGGGAGCAAACAGG
rnacentral:rRNA from 1 species